rnacentral:lncRNA from 1 species
UACAUUUCUAUUAACUAUUACUAUUUGUAGAUUUAGCAUUCUAUUGAUUUCUCCUUCAAUCAUUCUCCAGUAUUCUUGCACCCGAUCGCACUCCCAUAUCAUAUGAUUGAACACCCCUCUUUGUUCACAACCGUACCAACACCUAUCUUUCAUCCCUGGUAAAAACCGUGAAAGUUGUGCAGGAGUUCUGUACCAUUUUUGUAACAUUUUCCUUCUUGCUUCCCUUAAUACAUUGUACUUUUCUUUUGCUAUAUUACUUAUUUCCCUUUGUAUAUCUUCCCUCUCAAUUUCCAUGUCCAUUCUCCAUGUUUGGAAAAUUUCCUCUACUAUUUCUUCUUUUACCGUUAUAAUUUGUUCAUACAGAUCUCCUGCCACCUUCUUUUCCUCUCUCAAACAUUUCCUAAUCACCUUCUCAAAUGGACUGUCCUGUUCUCUAAUUUUUUCUCUGAUAUUUAAGUUCCCUUGCAUUACCCUCUCUUCCUUAUAUAGAUCUUUAUAAUAUUUUGCCAUUAUCUCCCUAAUCUUACUUUGCUCCUCUUGUUCUUUCCCAUUUUCGUCUUUCAAUCUCUUUAUACAUGUUUUUUCUUUUUUCUUUUUCAAAUAGUAAGCCAUCCUCUUCAUUGAUUUUAUAUUCCAUCUUUGGGAAUAGCUUUUAAGGUAUAUUUAUUUAUUAUAUUCCUUUCCUCAAAUGCUUCUAAUUGUUUUUUUUUAUCCUUUAGCUCUCUCCAAAUCUGUCUAUCCUUAGUCCUUUUAUGUUUGUCUUGCAGGGUUUCUAUUUCUUUUAUUCUCUUAUCCUGUUCAUUCCUCCAUCUCCUUCUAAGAUUUACCUCUAAACUUAUACAGUGACCCCUUAUCACUGCCUUACUUGCAUCCCAAAUUAUAUCUUUAGUUACUUGUCCAUUGGCAUUGGUCUCGAAAUACUUAUUUAGUUCUUUCCUAAUUGUUUCAUAUUCUUCCUCUCUACUGUUUAAAACUGUGUUAUAUCUCCAGGUUCUUUCUUUUCUUUCUAUUUC